GAGGGCUUCCAGUCACAAGGAUUGUUAGCCGCAUCCCCCUGCAGGAUAUUCUUGCUCAUGUGGUUGGCGAUGUUCCUAUAAUGAGCAAUCACCAUGUACUCGAUUUUACAGACGCUGGCAACAAGGUGAAUGAACAGUAUCGUUGAUAUUGUUGAUUAAAGGAGGCCCCCCUCUCCCCACACACACAUAAUCUCGACUUUCGCCUGUAGUCAACAGUUACAAAGUGCAAAUUUUGAUUUAUUUUGCAGGUUCAUCCAUAAGGUUCAUGGAGAUCAUCUGAUGGAUAUUCUCAUAGCUCUGGAAAUGGACAUCAUCGAUCCCAUCCAUAAGGUCUCUAACCCUCCCACCAGAAAAUGACUAGCCCAACCGCAUCACUUGGGAUUGCGUGAACCUUUGAAUUGCCCCUACCUCUAAUUCUUUGACCCUUCUGACAGUGUUAGGUAAUCUUGGGGCGAGCAGCAGAUGUCGUGGAUGGCCGCGACAGAGUACUUGGUAGAUUAGAUGUGGUGGGAAUUGAGUGAGGGUGUGGCAGAUCAAUGCGGAGGGUAGGGAGAUAGAUUAACACGAGAAUCACGAUGGGGAUGGGUGGUAUCAGCUGAGAAUAGUGGUGAACAUUAUUUAUAUUGGGCAAACAUUUGUAAUACAGUAGUUUAUGGUCCUGUGGUAUCGGUUAAGGGGCUCAAAAUCUGGAAACAGACUUUUUCUGUCUUGCUAAUGUAGAUUUUUUUUUAAAUUA